AUGAACGCUGGCGGCGUGCCUCAUACCUGCAAGUCGAGCGAACGGACGAGAAGCUUGCUUCUCUGAUGUUAGCGGCGGACGGGUGAGUAACACGUGGAUAACCUACCUAUAAGACUGGGAUAACUUCGGGAAACCGGAGCUAAUACCGGAUAAUAUUUUGAACCGCAUGGUUCAAAAGUGAAAGACGGUCUUGCUGUCACUUAUAGAUGGAUCCGCGCUGCAUUAGCUAGUUGGUAAGGUAACGGCUUACCAAGGCAACGAUGCAUAGCCGACCUGAGAGGGUGAUCGGCCACACUGGAACUGAGACACGGUCCAGACUCCUACGGGAGGCAGCAGUAGGGAAUCUUCAGCAAUGGGCGAAAGCCUGACGGAGCAACGCCGCGUGAGUGAUGAAGGUCUUCGGAUCGUAAAACUCUGUUAUUAGGGAAGAACAUAUGUGUAAGUAACUGUGCACAUCUUGACGGUACCUAAUCAGAAAGCCACGGCUAACUACGUG
rnacentral:rRNA from 1 species